CUUCCGCCCGCUUCCUUCCCACCGGCGCCGCCGGCUACGUGGCGACGGCCGUCCAGUAGCUUGUCAUGCAGGCGCUGGCGGGCGUGCCGAUGAUCCGCGCCCACUCCCACCCGCCGCGACCCUCCGCCGCACGCCGCAGCUCCGCCAACUGCACGCCACAAAAACCAAAGCUCCGGUGCCGUUGAUGCAGGACAUGAGAUUGAAAGGCAUGCUUAUUUCCACCCAGGGGAGGAAAAAGAAGGGCGAGGGAAUCUUGAAUGUUUCUAUUGGACAAGCUUUGUGGAAUCUGAUGUUUUGUAUUCAAUUGGAUGGAAUAAAGCUAGUACGCUUGUGCUGAAAUCGUCCUUGUCUCCUGCUGCCUCUGAAGUCGAUGGUUGCUUAGGAGUUCAGAUGUCCAUUUGCAACUUGCCAAUGCUAACCACCACCGGUGACUGCAGGGUCUUGAGAAAGGUGAAAGCAGCUCCACAUUGCUGAUAUCAUACUGCAGAAUUUUUCUUCGCCCUGCUUGUCAUCACUUGCUGAAUGGAAUAUCGGGGCCUGAUUGAUUGAUCACCCUGAGAAGGUCUCGCUAAGGUUUUCGUCGCAAAAGAAGAGAAAAAAAGAAGUCGGCUAAACUUCUUAGGUCUGUGGGAGGAUCCAGCAAUCGCUGGCUUCGAUUCCAUAUCAAGCAUGGAGCAGACAAAACAAGGGUUGAUCCAAAGGAUCAAGGAUAAAAUAAGAGAAAAAUAAAGAAACCUUAAAGCUGAAUAUUAGGGCGAUGUUUCACGAUGGAUCCCCUAAAGGGCUCAAUGGACGUGCAGCCUUCAUACUUCAACAGGUGCUAGAUAAAUCGCAAGCGGAGACCUGGUCGGAUUUGAAAUGAGCUCCUGCGACGCCCCUGGCGACCCGGUGCCCGCGGCCCCGCGGCCGCCCUCCCCGCCGUCGGUGGCCUCCCUCGCUGCGCCCUCGCCCCGGGCCUCCCCGGCCGCCGCCGCCCCCUCCUCUCCGCCCUCCUCGCCGUCUCUGGCGUUCCGCUGGGCGGACGUGGCGGAGUUGGCCGAUGUGGCAGCCAGCCGCCCGGUUGUGCGUCGGGAUCCCCCGGCUCGGUCGGUCGUGCCCCAGAUGGAUUCUGCGUCCCCACCCCGGUCCGGUUGCUCCGGUGUUUGAUACGUCUCCAAUGUAUCUAUAAUUUUUGAUUGCUCCAUGCCAUUAUAUAUUUUGUUUUGGAUGUUUAAUAGGCUUUAUUAUACACUUUUAUAUUAUUUUUGGGACUAACCUAUUAACCCAAGGCCCAGUGCAAAUUGUUGUUUUUUUGCCUAUUUCAGUGUUUCGCAGAAA